ACAAUUGAAUGCAAGUAGGUUGCAAGGUUGAUGGAAAGUAGAAAAGUUUCCUGACUUGCGUGAACAGAAAAGAAACAUCAAUUUGAAAGGAAACCAUUUAUUUAUUUACUUCCUCUACAGUUUUCCUGACUGCUACAUUUCAUAAGAAGGGAUUGUUUAUGAGGGUCAAGGAGCUGGAGGCCUGGGGAGGAGCUGGUGUUUCUGUUCAAGUUUGAGGGUCCUGGAGCUGGAGCCCAGGGGAGGAGCCAGUGCUGCCACUGAUGUCUUAGGGUCGUGGAGCUGAAGAUCCCAGAGGAGCCGGUGCUGCUAUUCUAGCUUGAGUUUCGUGGAGCUGGAGACCCAGGGAGAAGAUGGUGCUGCUGUUCUAAUUUAAGGAUCGUGAAACAGAAGACCCAGAAAGGAGCUGGUGCUGCCGCUGCUCAGAUCUGAGGGUGUUGGAGCUGGAGCCUGGGGGUGGAGCCAUUGCUGCCAUUGAAGUGUGAGAGUCAUUGAGCUGGAAGUCCAGGAAGCAGCUGGUGCUGCUGUUCUAGUUUGAGGGUUGUGGAGUGCAGACCCAGGCAGGAGCAACAUUGCUGUAGUUCGAGGGUCAGAAAGCUGGCGACCCAGGGAGGAGAGGUCUUGUUCUAGUUUGAUUUUCGUGGAGCUGCAGACCCAGGCAGGAGCAAUGUUGCUGUAGUUCGAGGGUCCGGUAGCUGGCAACCCGGGGAGGAGAAGUCUUGUUCGAGUUUGAGGGUCGUGGAGCUGCCGACCCAGGGAGGAGCAAUUUGGUUGUAAUUUGAGGGUCCAGAAGCUGGAGACCCAGGGAGGAGAGAGAUCUUGUUCUGGUCUGAGGGUUGUGGAGCCACAGACCCAGGGAGGAGCAAUUUUGUUGUAAUUUGAGGGUCAGGAAGCUGGCGACCCAGGGAGGAGAGGUCUUGUUCUAGUUUGAGGGUCGUGGAGCUGCCGACCCAGGGAGGAGCAAUUUUGUUGUAAUUCGAGGAUCAGGAAGCUGGCGACCCAGUGGAGGAGAGGUCUUGUUCUGGUCUGAGGGUCAUGGAGCUGCAGACCCAGGGAGGAGCAAUGUUGUUGUAAUUCGAGGGUGUGGUAGCUGGCAACCUGGGGAGGAGAAGUCUUGUUCGAGUUUGAGGCUCGUGGAGCUGCCGACCAGGGAGGAGCAAUUUUGUUGCAGUUCGAGGGUCAGGAAGCUGGCGACCCAGGGAGGAGAGGUCUUGUUCUAGUUUGAGGGUCGUGGAGCUGCAGACCCAUGGAGGAGCAAUUUUGUUGUAAUUCGAGGGUCUGGAAGCUGGAGACCCAGGGAGGAGAGGUCUUGUUCUAGUUUGAGGGUCGUGGAGCUGCCGAACCAGGGAGGAGCAAUGUUGUUGUAAUUGGAGGGUCCGGAAGCUGGCGACCCAGGGAGGAGAGGUCUUGUUCUGGUGUGAGGGUCGUGGAGCUGCAGACCCAGGGAGGAGCAAUUUUGUUGUAAUUCAAGGGUCCGGUAGCUGGCAACCCAGGGAAGAGAAGUGUUCUUGGAGUUUGAGGGUCGUGGAGCUGCCGACCCAGGGAGGAGCAAUUUGGUUCUAAUUCGAGGGUCAGGAAGCUGGCGACCCAGGUGAGGAGAGGUCUUCUUCUGGUAUGAGGGUCGUGGAGCUGCAGACCCAGGGAGGAGCAAUUUUGUUGUAAUUCAAGGGUCCGGUAGCUGGCAACCCGGGUAGGAGAAGUCUUGUUCGAGUUUGAGGGUCGUGGAUCUGCCGACCCAGGGAGGAGCAGUUUGGUUGUAAUUUGAGGGUCCGGAAGCUGGAGACCCAGGGAGGAGAGAGGUCUUGUUCUGGUCUGAGGGUCGUGGAGCUGCAGACCCAGGGAGGAGCAAUUUUGUUGUAAUUCAAGGGUCCAGUAGCUGGCAACCCAGGGAAGAGAAGUGUUGUUGGAGUUUGAGGGUCGUGGAGCUGCCGACCCAGGGAGGAGCAAUUUGGUUGUAAUUCGAGGGUCAGGAAGCUGGCGACCCAGGGGAGGAGAGGUCUUCUUCUGGUCUGAGGGUCGUGGAGCUGCAGACCCA
rnacentral:lncRNA from 1 species